rnacentral:misc_RNA from 1 species
AGAGAGGGCGCUAGUAGUACCUCUGAUCUACAGUAUGUAACUGUUAGUUAUGGUCCUGCAAUUAAAAUCAAAGUUAUUCUACAUCCAUCCAGCAUCAUUGAUCUGACCUUUUCCUGAGACUGCGCCGGCUGGAGGGGUUGAUUGAAAAUCCAACCUUCAUUCCCAACCAUAUUGGACCCAGUGGUCUGUUGAUGCUCACAUCUACUGGUUCAAACACGGUACAUUCUCAGGAGCAAGGUAACCAACAGCAGCAGCGUCUCUCCUACGCGACGUCGAUCCCCGACAAGGACCUGCGCCAGGUCUCCGCCUACGCCAUGAACCCUUCCCUCUACCGACAAGUGGACAGCUUCGCCAACCGCGCCGCACGUGCUCCAGAUGGCCGCAGUUCCACGCCGCCCGCCGCGCUGCCGUCAUCAACCCGGGCGGCGGCGGCGCGUUCCGGCCCGUGCUGACCGUCGGCGAGCAGCCGGACGCCUACCACUCGUCGCGCAUUCGCAGCAGCCGCGAAACGCGCCAAGAACGCGCGGCGGCGGC